rnacentral:sRNA from 1 species
UUGUAAAAGUCCCGGACGGCGCCUCUGUGUCUGCCGUGCUUGCACGGGCAGACACAGAGGCAUCGGACGGGCUAGGCGUCAUGAGCAUGGAAGGCCGAUAGGCCUGGAAUGCGAAUGACGGCGGCGAUUACGAAAGGGCGAAGCCCGAAGCAAUCGACUUUUACAA